UACAGAGGGGGCAAGCGUUGUUCGGAAUUACUGGGCGUAAAGGGCGCGUAGGCGGCCUGCUAAGUCGAACGUGAAAUCCCCGGGCUCAACCCGGGAACUGCGUCCGAUACUGGUUGGCUUGAAUCCGGGAGAGGGAUGCGGAAUUCCAGGUGUAGCGGUGAAAUGCGUAGAUAUCUGGAGGAACACCGGUGGCGAAGGCGGCGUCCUGGACCAACACUGACACUGAGGCACGAAAGCGUGGGGAGCAAACAGG
rnacentral:rRNA from 1 species